rnacentral:lncRNA from 1 species
UUCUGAUAUUUGAGAAUUGCAUCUGGCUAUUUGUUCCUUUGCAGAGUGAGUGAACGAGAGGCUGCUUUGGAAGAAAAUCACAGAUUACUACAACAGUUCCCCCUGGACCUGGAGAAGUUUCUUGCCUGGCUCACAGAAGCUGAAACAACUGCCAAUGUCCUACAGGAUGCUACCUAUAAGGAGAGACUCCUAGAAGACUCCAAGGGAGUAAGAGAGCUGAUGAAACAAUGGCAAGUAAGUGAAGCGUUUCCACUUUAGC